UACGUAGGGUGCAAGCGUUGUCCGGAAUUAUUGGGCGUAAAGAGCUCGUAGGCGGUUUGUUGCGUCGGCUGUGAAAUCCCGAGGCUCAACCUCGGGUCUGCAGUCGAUACGAGCAAACUAGAGUGCGGCAGGGGAGACUGGAAUUCCUGGUGUAGCGGUGAAAUGCGCAGAUAUCAGGAAGAACACCUAUGGCGAAGGCAGCUCUCUGGGACGGUACUGACGCUGAGACGCGAAAGCUAGGGGAGCAAACAGG
rnacentral:rRNA from 1 species